GGUGUUUCUAGGUUCGCAGUACAGAGGAAGGGUCACACUACCACCAGGGUCAUAAAACUACCCCUGGAAAUGCCCACAACUCCUACGAAAGCCUUGUCAAAUAGGUGUUUCUAGGUUCACAGUACAGAGGAAGGGUCACACUACCACCAGGGUCAUAAAACUACCCCUGGAAAUGCCCACAACUCCUACGAAAGCCUUGUCAAAUAUGUGUUUCUAGGUUCACGGUACAGAGGAAGGGUCACACUACCACCAGGGUCAUAAAACUACCCCUGGAAAUGCCCACAACUCCUAGGAAAGCCUUGUCAAAUAGGUGUUUCUAGGUUCACAGUACAGAGGAAGGGUCACACUACCACCAGGGUCAUAAAACUACCCCUGGAAAUGCCCACAACUCCUACGAAAGCCUUGUCAAAUAUGUGUUUCUAGGUUCACGGUACAGAAGAAGGGUCACACUACCACCAGGGUCAUAAAACUACCCCUGGAAAUGCCCACAACUCCUACGAAAGCCUUGUCAAAUAUGUGUUUCUAGGUUCACGGUACAGAAGAAGGGUCACACUACCACCAGGGUCAUAAAACUACCCCUGGAAAUGCCCACAAAACCUACCCUAGUAUUGAAUC